AGCGAACGCUGGCGGCAGGCCUAACACAUGCAAGUCGAACGAAGUCUUCGGACUUAGUGGCGGACGGGUGAGCAACACGUGGGAACGUGCCUUUAGGUUCGGAAUAACUCAGGGAAACUUGUGCUAAUACCGAAUGUGCCCUUCGGGGGAAAGAUUUAUCGCCUUUAGAGCGGCCCGCGUCUGAUUAGCUAGUUGGUGAGGUAAAGGCUCACCAAGGCUACGAUCAGUAGCUGGUCUGAGAGGAUGACCAGCCACAUUGGGACUGAGACACGGCCCAAACUCCUGCGGGAGGCAGCAGUGGGGAAUCUUGCGCAAUGGGCGAAAGCCUGACGCAGCCAUGCCGCGUGGAUGAUGAAGGUCUUAGGAUUGUAAAAUCCUUUCACCGGUGAAGAUAAUGACUGUAGCCGGAGAAGAAGCCCCGGCUAACUUCGUGCCAGCCGCCGCCGUAAUAC
rnacentral:rRNA from 1 species